GGUUACAUAGGUGCAAAUUGUUGCUUCUAUUUAAAUAAAGAAAUAUGUACGUAAGAUGUUUUACACCAUAUACGUGUGAAUAUUAUUUAUUUCAAUAAUUAGCGGCUAUUUUUCUAAUUUUCCUAGAAAUGAUGGAAUAAAAAGAAAGUGGAUUGGAUAAUGAAAAGUAAAAAAAGGAGACUGAAGGAGUUUUUAUAUCAAAUAUUUUAUCAAAUGUAUAAAAUAUAGUACUUAGUACAUAUAUGCUACAUAUAGUGCUAAGUAUAUGGACAUAACAUUUAGGUUCAAAAUAUAAAAAAAAAUUACAUAUUAAAAUUUAUUUUAAUAUGUAAUUUCUUUUCAUAACGCCAUAUGCUUUACCUUAUUUAUGUUUACUUUUUUAAUGUGACUUGUUUUGUUAAUAUUUCUCUUAAGGAUGAAAAUUUGGUCAACAAAGAAAUAUAAGAAGGCGGUGCGAUGUUGUUGAAUGCAAAUGAAUACGUAAAUAUUUGAAGCUCAGUUAAUUAAUUUGGAAGUUUAUAACAACAUAUCAUCUACUUUAUUGAGCAAUAAUGAAAAUACUAAUUAAAAUUUGUUAAAAAGGCACAGUUUUAGAGUCAUUUUAUAUCUGAAAUUUAAAAAUAUUUAUAAAACAUCACUGCAACAACGUCUCACAUUGAAAAAUGUUUUACUAACAUCAUAUUCAUCAACAACAAGUGUGUCGCAAGUAACACUUAAGACAGUAAAAAAUAUAAAAAAAAAAAUAAUAUGUUUAUAAAAUAAAUUUAUUCAAAAAGAAAAAAUUACACUAAAUCCUCGAGAUACGACAUUUCGAGUUAGGACAUGAUAAAUUUGGACCAUUUUUAUUCGGCUUGCGAUAUUAUUUCUGAUACGACAUUAAAUAUUAAAAUAAUAUUUUUUUGGCAGAUUUUACUGUUUUUUGAAUAUAACUCUGUACCGAAUUUAGUUAUAAGACAACACUAAAGCACAUUAUUUCAAUAAUGAGCUUUUUCUAGUUAAAAAUACGAAUAGAAGUGAUAUAAUAUAUCAACUUCAUCAGAUUUUAUUUAAUUUAUUUUUGUCAUAAUAUUGAGUUUUUUUGUUCUGUUAUUAUAUUUUGUUGUUUUUUUAUAAUUUUUUUACCUUUUUUUAAAAAACAGGUCAAUCAUAUAAAAUAGUUUGUCUAAUUCACUUCUUCAUACAUUUUUUUCCCUCAAGCGACAAUUCGAGUUACGACAACAAUUUCUGGAACCAAAAAUGUCGUAUCUCGAGGACUUAGUGUAAUGAUUUUUCAAAUAUUUAAAAAAAAUAUUAAAAUAUU